ACAUAACCCUCAUUUACCCCUUUCCUCAGUCUCUGAAACAUGCAGUCCCACCCCCUUUCUUCCUAAACCUAACAUAGAAAUGGAAAGAAAAAUCAGUCAAGGAGAGAAAGGAAAUCAGAUUGUGAUCCAGGGAAGGAGAGGAGGGAGAUGCUGUCACGCACGUUGCCGCCAAGCUACUGCCCCAUUGCCGUUCCGCCAACACUGCACACCACUGCGUCUGUCACUGCCAUUUCCAAGCUUCGCUGUCGUGCUUUGCUUCUAUCACCGCCGUCCAUGGAGCUUCGAGUAGUGCCACUGCCGUCACGUACCAGAGGAGAACAGAGAACAAACGCGAGGAGAGGGAGAGCUUGUGCGUGAAGGGUAGCACCGCUGUGCCUCCGUCGCGCCUUCAUUACUGUCGAAGCUGCACUUUCACGUCACCAUCGUUGUGCCUCCACCAAACCCGUCACACCGCCGCUGCUGUGAUGUCAUUACUGUCGCGAGGGAGAAGAGAUGCGUGAGGAAGGAAGCUCGCAUGGGAGAAAGAAGACGCUGCCUGCGCCACCUGCUCUGUCGCGUCUGAUCUCUGCUGUUACUGCGUCGCCGCCACCGAAGGUCUGCCGCCGCUACCGUUGUUUCCAUCGCCUCCAUGCUUCAUGUUCAUCCUUCCAAUCAUUACUGUCUUUGUUCGGUAUUGCCGUCCUUAUCCGGGACCAUCGAUGUUAUUGUUGUUGCUUCCCCAGAAGAACUGAGGCUACUGCUACUAUUCCGGCCGCACUGGCUAUUGUAAAACUGGAAAAAAGAAGGGCAUCAUUGCGUUUAAAUUCGACGGUUUCGACUAAUUGAGUGACACAGGUUUGAAGACGCAAUUUGAAGCUGCAAGUGAUUAGUAGGUUUUCUUUACGGUUUUAAUUGCUUUCAUAGAGUCCCCUCGCUCUUGUCCUUUGAGCUUUUAUUUUAAUAGAGGGGUAGGUGUUGUAUUUGGAUUUAUAUGACUCUUUAUGUAUAAGAAUUACUAUUAACAAUACUUAUGUGAUUGUUAUUAUUACUUGCCAUGUUUAUCCUUGAUACAUGUCAUUAAUGA